rnacentral:rRNA from 1 species
UACGGAGGGUGCAAGCGUUAUCCGGAUUCACUGGGUUUAAAGGGUGCGUAGGUGGGUUGGUAAGUCAGUGGUGAAAUCUCCGUGCUUAACAUGGAAAUUGCCAUUGAUACUACUGGUCUUGAAUUUUCUGGAGGUAAGCGGAAUAUGUCAUGUAGCGGUGAAAUGCUUAGAUAUGACAUAGAACACCGAUUGCGAAGGCAGCUUACCACAGGGAUAUUGACACUGAGGCACGAAAGCGUGGGGAGCGAACAGG